rnacentral:lncRNA from 1 species
UAUUAUCAAAUUUAACUAGAUUGUAUUACAUUGUUGUUGUUACUCACAAAACCCAACUCUACACCUACUCCGACCCUCGAACCCAAUCAAAUAUAAAUAAUACUAUAUGCAUGCACUGGGAACCAAAAGAAAUUGGGUUACUUAAAAGUUUGUAGGCCAAGUAUGAUUGGAAUAUUUCGAGUUUUUCGUUAUUGGUAACUAACUACACCCACCCCUUCUCAUGUGCUAAAUUAAAAGGGGAAUCUUCUUGGAAAGCAUUUGGGUACUUUAACGAUAAGCCCAAGUGAGGCUGCGAGGAUUGGGUCCAAGUGGUCCAUUCAAUGGCAAUACAAAAUUUGACCCAACAAAGGUAUUUUCAUUAUCAAAUGCGAUUGGAAUCUAUCAAAAUAAUAUUUAUUCACCGAUUCACGUACCAAAGUUUACCUAUUAUUUAAAAACAAAAAAAAAAAGUUUUACAUAUUAAAAAACAAUAACCGGAGCGAAUAAAAUUACACUAAUAUGCAACUUUUUUUUUUUUUAAAUAUUGACGGCUAAAUGUAGACUUGAUCUUAGCUCUUAGCAAAACAACAUUGAAUCACAGCAAAUUAUGGUUAUAUUACUAACUGUUAAUUUUGAAUUCAUAUUUAGUGAAAUAAAACAUGCGAAUUAGAUAACAAUUAAAAGAAAAUUACAAGAGUAGCCUUCGUUAUUGUUGGAAUGCUCCAUAGUCCAUUCCAUUACCAAGAAAAUGCUAAAAGCUCAACUUGAUGUAAACAAGAGUACAAGACAUGUCCAAGUCAAAGUUUUCUCCUAACUUGUAAGUGAUACGAAGAUGGGUGUAAACAAAACAAAGACAAAGUCUUUGUCGAAACUCCAGCUCUAGUAGGAGGAAAGCGAUGAUCAUGACAAAAAGGCUUGACGAAAAUGGAAUUUGAUGAGUAAAAAUUGGUUAAGCUGGAGUGAAGGAAUGAGUUGUGUUGACUGAAUUAGAUUGAAUGGGGUUCUAGGGUUUGAAUUUUGAAUGUUGAAUGCUUCAAUCUCGAUGAUUAGUAGUAAUUCACAAAGUUGUGAUGAAAUAAUAGAAACGGGUUACAGAAAGAACGUUCAAAAAAUGACGAUAAUGAUAUGAUUUUCAGCUCGUUUACUGACUCCCACGCUUGGUUUUUCUAUUUUCGAGUAGUUUCGUCAAUAUUAUUUAAUUUCCAAUUAACGAACACUUGCGUUAUUUAUUAUGCAAUUGCCAUUCCAAAAGAAUGUUAAAAAAAUGGUCAAAAUUGAGCAGCGGUUAGUGCACAAAAACCAUGGGCACAUGCAGUGAAACGAGCAGCUUGGUUGAUAAUUUUAUUGAACAGGGAGACGACAAGAGAGAGAGAGAGAACAAAGGAAAGUUCGUUAAACGCCAAACCCUAAAAUAAAACCCAACAUGCAUCAUAAGUUUUUCUUAUUCUCAACUCUCAAGUUAUUAUAUAGGCAAGUGUCUCGAAAUCGCCUCUUAAUUAUUAAGUUAAAAGAAUCCCACCAAACUUUGGAAGAUUCCAAGAGUGAAAAUUUUGAAUUAUACAUAGAUACAUUUUUUCAGGUCCGAUAAUAUUCAAUUACGAUAUAUAUCAAGUAGCGAUUUGAAUAUUUGAGCAUGAUUCGUAUAUUUUCUUGUUAUGAGACUAUCUUAAUUGCUAUUGAAACUUGAAAAUUCUCUAAUAUGUUUACAUUAUUGAUUCAAAAGGUGUUAAGACACUCAACGAUUCACUUCUUAUUUUUUUGUAAAAAGGAAUUUAAGUCUCUUUAUGUGCAUUAUUUGAGAAAGAUUUUCUUAAUGUUUCAUUUUAAAGUAUCAUAUUCAAUAUGCUAUAAGUAUAUUAUUAAAAGAACUAGUAUUAAUUAGAAGAACAAAUAGUCCGUUUGGGAGUAUGAUGAGGUAGCUGUACUGUCAAAGUCUUGCUACUAAAGUGUUUGGUAACACUUGUAGAUGAGCUUUAGCAGCUUAGCAAAUAUUUUUUUUCUAAUUUUUACUCCACAACUGUAGAUUUUAUUUUACAAUAAUUACAACUUAAAAGUUACAAUACCUCACUCCCAAUCAUACUCAAAAUUGAUACGUUUGAGCAGUAAAUCUCACAUAAUUAAGAUCAUCACUCAAUUUAUUGAAAAAUAAUCAUAACAAAAUUCAAAAAGAAAAAGCAUUGAAGUGGGGGGGGGGGGGGUGUCGACUGGAGAGCACAGAUAUUGGCCCACUACUUAAUUAUUAUUAUUAUUAAUUUUUAUUUUUUUUUUGCACACAACAUAUUGCCACAAAAAUGGCAGCCAUUUAUCUCAUUUUGUCAAAGCCUGGCAAUUAUCAACUUAUUCGCGUGUGAAAUUUAAUGAGGAAGAGUGCGUCAGAAUGAGUGAGAGUGUCGGUGCUUUGGUUUGGUGAAGCGCGCUGUACCAAAAAGACAAGACGCCUAAUGCUGAUUGAUCAGAUUCGUAGAUUUUCUUAAAGAGUUAUAUGGAAAAGGGAGACACAUAGCUGGGUUGGUUUAUUUAAUUAUGUGAUUAAAAAUUCCUCCCAAAUCGUACAAAUCCAAAAACUCAUUAAGUCAUAAUCCCUCAUCCACUACCAAAAUUAGUGUCUCCCGUUUGUUUGUUUAAUCAUUAACGUUGUUUUUUUUCCCUCUUGUGCUUUCCAGCUCCACUUUGUUGUUGAUGUGGAUUGACUACUCUCAUUUUUGGAAAAUUAUAACUUAGAAACACACCCACUUCAUUCGAUUGCCUCAAAUAUCAUUUUUUUUUCUUUUUAGGGUAUUUCUUUGUUACAAUAAUGUAAGAUUGAUACAACUUUUUUGUAUACAUUUCUCAUUUGAGAUAGACACUGCCUCGUUGGAUUAAUCUAGGUCAAUUUCAACAUAUUUCAAAGACAUUAUGAAGGAAAAAAGAGAGAAGAAAAAAAAAAGAAUUGUUGGAUCUAUGUAUCCAUAUAAUUUCUUUAUCUAUUUCAAAGGUAAAAUUAUGAGGGACAUUUAACCAACAAAUGAGGAAGCAUCAAAAGAAAAUAAGAAAGCAAAGUUUGAAUUUUUUUUUUUUUAUAAGUUCAAAAAAAAAAACUGGAUUUGGCUUCAGUGUGUGGGGAGAGCAGAGCAGCCGGGAGCUCAGUCAACACAAAACCGAGUGAGAUUUGUUUUCAUUUUCUUAAAUUCUUUCAUUUUUUUAUUAAUGAAGUCCAAUCUGCCACGUGGAAUUAGUCCGUAUGGUCGAACGUACAAGCUGUGUGCAUGAGAAUACGAGAAAUACAGCUGGUGUAAUGCCACGUAACACUAUGUACGUAAUUGACUUUAUUUUUUUGAAAAUUCACUCUAAUCUUAUACGCGUGAAUACAGUCCCCCAUCACAGCAAGGCAACGCAGAUGGAGCGUGGAUGUGACUUGCUGGAAGCACGAGUGGAGUUUUACUGUUUCUCGCGACAGCCUACGAGAUUUGUACUUUUGGGUACAAGCACCGUAGAGUGGCGGUGGCGGUUGAGGAGGUUGACUCAUGACUGUAUGCUCUGUCAUUUAUUUUUCUCUCUUUUUUGUUUUUGUUCGAAAGGAAUGAAAAAUAGAGUAAAUGGCACCGUUUUUUUUUAGUACUUUUUAUUCGUUAAUUCAAUUUAUAUUUUUAUUUUUUACCAUAUUCUGAUUUUCAAUUUUGAAGAGUCAGGCCUUUGUACAAUGCUCAACAAUAAAAUUGCUAAGCAAAAUAUGAGCUAUUUUAUCCCGACAAACCAUUUUUUUUUUUUAAUUUAUAACAUAAGCAUGUUAAAUUUUGGCUAUAUUUGUGAUUUGGGCUGGUAGCUGGUAGGUUAAUUGAAAAAUCAAAUUGUACAAAUAAAAAAAUUAACAAAAUCAAGUAAGACUAUUCAAACAUUUUUAAGAAGUUGAUUGAAAAAAAAAACAUUAUUAAGAACUUGAAAAAUCAAAAUGAAACUUUAUCUUAUAAUUUUAUAUUGACUAUUGACCAUGGUCGAAGUGGCAGGAGACUAUGUACAUCAUUCAUUGACAAAGAAAUUUCCUUCUCUUUUUUUUAUUAAUCAAAACAUAUAAUUUUUUGUUGACACUGGUCAAUGAAGAAAAUUAUAAACACAAAAUAAUUUGAUCACUAUAAUUUUUUAGUAGUACAAAAUGUACCCAAAUUCCACUUCAAUCUGUAAUUUUUUUUCUAAAAGAGUAGGAUUUGAAAUCUCAAAACUCUCGUAUGAAUAAAAUAAACUAUCUUUAAAAAUAAUUUACCAAUGAUAUAAAAAAUUUACCUCAUUUUUUUCUUCGAAAGUUUACAUAUAUAUUUUAUUUCAAAAUAAGCACUCUAUUCAAUUUUUUUUUUUAAAAAAAAAAAGAGAGAAAAGAAGAAAAUCUCUAUAUUAUAUUUAAUGUUAAACAAAAAUAGUCAAAUAAACGUGGUUGGAAAUGGGGCCUCUCUUUGUAAAAUGAAAAAAAAAAAACAAACCCUUUUCCUUCUGCUUCUCAUAUCUCUAAUUCUCUAUAUAUAUUUGCUUGAUAAGAAUAGCAACAAGCCAGCCAUUUGUUUGUGCAUUCUUGAUACAGAGAGAGAAGCUCAAGAAACUUGAAUUUCCACUCUGUUAAAAAAAAAAAAAUCCAUUACAAACCCUUUAAACAACUUCAAAACAAACAAUACAAUCAAAUCGCACGCCACCUCUCGCCCUUCAUUUUCUCUCAUUUUGGUUCUAAAUUUCUUCUCAUUUCCGUUUUAUCCAUUUUAUUAUUUUUUGGCUCUUUUUGUUUCGCUCAGGUUAAGGUAUGAGUCAAUCUGCAUUCCACUUUUAUCCUGUCCCAUUUUUCUCAUUUGCAUUUUGCCUUUUUGUUUUUGCAUUGAAAUGAACAUUGUAGUUGUAGAGCUAAAGAUGAAAAAGCGUUGGUCUUUUGUUUAUUUAUUUUCACGAUGAAUGCCAUUUGAAUGUCAUUAUUGAUUUUUUGUGAUUUUAGGUUAAUUAUUUGUAUCAUUUUGAGGAAAUAGAAAUGUGUUUUCAUGGGGAUGCUUGAAAUUUGUGCAACUGAGCUUCUUUUGCAUUUAAGCUAUAUCUAUGGCCUGAGAUACAAGGAAAAUGCUAAAAAAAUGCUUGGACGUUGAUGCUUUUACCUCAUAUUGCAUUUCCCAGAUAAAAACUUUCUUUAAAUUGUUUAUAUUUAUUUGAUUUUUGAUGAUUCAAACAGGUACUCAGACCGAUAAGUCUUGGUGAUUUGAGAUCUUGGGACUUCAAGCUAACCGCAAGCAUCCGUUCAAGAUGGAGAUGGGGAUAUCAUUUUCAUACCCGGUUGCUGAUUUUGAUGAUCUUGAUAGCCCUUUUGGAGAAGUUCAUUUGAGAUCAAUUAGUCUUACAGAGGCUGCUAAUGAGAGGUCAGUGCUGCGAAAACUCAGUGUCAAUGGCCGCGAAUCAAAUUCAAAACCAACUGCGCUAAGGAAGAAGAUGAUUGAAAGAUUACUUAGCUUUGAAAGGAGAGCAUUGGAGGGCAAGUUCUCAUUCAAAACCCCUUCUGCAGAAAUGGAUAAUCAAGUUUUUGGUAACACAAUGAGCUUUAAGGAUGCAGAAAGUGGUGACCAAUCUCCAGGAUCAUAUGAUUUUCAAGACGCCAAAUCCCAUUUGCCAUUGGAGCAUGGGAAUCAAAUAUACCAAGCUGCCUUAAGGUUGCAGAAAGUGUAUAAAAGUUUCAGAACAAGGAGAAGGCUGGCUGAUUGUGCAGUUCUUGCAGAGCAGAGAUGGUAUGAAUCAAUCAAUCAACCUCAAUGUGCUGUAAAGAUCUAUUAAAUAUUAUGCUCUUAACAGCUAUAUAAUAUUUGACUGUCAUUGUGUAGGUGGAAGGUCUUAGAUUUCGCUGAGCUGAAGCGGAGCUCCAUAUCCUUCUUUGAUAUCGACAAAAAUGAGACCGCUCUUUCUCGUUGGUCAAGAGCAAGAACAAGAGCUGCUAAGGUGAGCGUCAGACAAUGAGUUGAUUCACUUUCUGUAACAUCUCUCUGGUGAUUCUGAUAGCUGAUUUUUCUUUCCUCGGCAGGUAGGGAAAGGGUUAUCGAAGUCUGAAAAAGCUCGUAAGCUUGCUUUGCAGCACUGGCUUGAAGCAGUGAGUUCACUUUUCCAUGGAAUCCUUCAAAAUGAAACGACUAUCUGUUUGCUAGAUUACCCUUGUUGAUCAUUUUUCUUUUUAUUGGUAGAUUGAUCCUCGCCAUCGCUAUGGACAUAACCUUCAGUUCUACUAUGUCACCUGGUUGCAUUGUGAGAGCCAGCAGCCAUUCUUCUACUGGUAAGGAUACUUGAGACCCCAACAAAAUGAACAGAAAAAUUCUUAGCUCCAGUACUAAGUAUAAUUUAAAAAACUGACACCAACAUUCUGGCAUCCAGGCUUGAUAUCGGAGCAGGGAAAGAAGUUAAUCUUGAGAGGUGCCCCAGAUCAAAGCUUCAACAACAAUGCAUCAAGUAUCUCGGUCCGGUUAGUCUCAUCUCCAGCAGCAAUUACUCAUGUUAUCACCUUUAUGAGCAACAAAUGAUUUGUUUCGUAUGAUAUCAAGUUUACUGAUAUAUCCGUUGAAAAAUCGAUAUUUUUUUGACUUUUUUUUUUUCCAAUUUGCAGACAGAAAGGAUGGAGUAUGAAGUAAGAAUAGAGGAUGGGAAGUUGAUUUACAAGAAGAGUGGGACAGUUCUUGAUAGUACAAAGGGACCAAAAGAUACUAAGUGGAUCUUUGUGCUCAGCACUUCAAAGACAUUGUAUGUGGGGCAGAAGAUCAAGGGCAAUUUUCAACAUUCAAGCUUUUUGGCUGGGGGAGCCACGCUAUCUGCUGGGAGAUUAGUUGUUGACAAUGGAUAUCUAAAGGUAGACAACAAGCCACCAUUUGAAUUUUCAAGAAAUUAAUUCAUAUUCAAAAAGUGCGUUAGUAAGUGCUUUUGGGUAAAAUAGGCCUUAAGGCACUUUCAAUGACAAUAAGCAUAUAUACAUUUAUGUUAAUCAACAUAAAUGAAAAUAAAAGCACUUUGGCUAUUUGGAAAAACUUUUUUCCAGGCCAAAAGUAUUUCCAAACAUACUACAAUUUCCAUACUUUCGGGCAGGUGUUUGUAUAUUGAUAUUGUUUUUCUUAACUUGAUAGGCAAUUUGGCCACACAGUGGACACUAUCUCCCAACAGAAGAAAAUUUCCAAGCAUUCAUGUCAUUCCUCAGGGAGCACAAUGUGGAUCUCACUAAUGUGAAGGUAAAAUAAAGUUAAAUUGAGUAGCAAGAGAUUUUCAACUAUCCAAAAUCUCCUUUAAAUAUUGGACAAACUGAGGCUAAUUUGGCAUAUCUUUCUUGCUACGUUCCAGAAAAGCCCAGAAGAAGAGGAAGAAGUAGCUAUCAAAAAGAGCAAAAGCAUCCAUGACAACCCACUGGAAGUAGGAAUCUCUCAAGACACUGAAGCAGCAGAUGUUAAAACCUCAGCUCAAGAGGACAUUGAUUCAAGAAAAGAAGGGCCUAAUCCUGCAGAAAAUCCAGCUCAACCUGAACCAAGAGAUGAAGUACCAAGGAGCAGUGACAUGAUUGACAUUUGUAAGACAGAAGCACUUCCAGAAAGUUGCAGUUCUGAAUAUCAAGAGCAUCCUUCAGAUGAUGGUUAUGAAACAGCUGAAGAAUCAUUUUUGUCAGAGGAAGAUUUCAUGGUUUCUAAAAAGAAUCUGUUUGAUGAAGAUGCAGAAGAAAAUGAAAAGCCAGUUCCAAAAGAGAAAAUCAUGCAAAGGAUAGAUUCACAUAAAGGACUGAAAUCAUAUCAGUUGGCUCAGCAAUUAUCCUCAAAAUGGAGUACAGGGGCCGGGCCACGGAUUGGUUGCAUGAGGGAUUACCCAUCCGAGCUACAAGCCCAGAUUCUCGAGCUAGCAAACUUGUCUCCAAGAGCAAGUUCAUCAUCUCGGAUCAGAAGCCACUCUUGCCCGAGAGUGCUUGCUCCAAAUUCAGUAAGCCGAGAAAUAUUGGCCAAAAGCCCCCUCGCUCCAGAGCAAGUAGUAGUAUCACAAACAAAACCGUAGACUACUUUGAAAUGAAAACACAAAUUCAUUCAUUUUUUGAAACUUAUGUUGGGGAUAGAGAACAUGACAUAGGAGAUACUUUCUGUAUUCUAUACCAAUCUUUUACACGUUACCUUCUUAAAUUCAGGGUAAAAAUGGCAUGAAAUUUAAAGGGACCAUACAUGUUUAUGACAAGACGAGUCCCUUUUCAAUUCUUUAGUUUUUUGAAAUCUUCUAAAUUGGAUCUAAAGUUGAAGAAAAAAGGGGAAUUGAAAAUCAUUCUUCUCUCGACAUUGUAAAGUAGCGUUCUGUAUCCGACACUGAAAGCCACUUUAGAAGAUAUUGGAUCUAGAACUACGAAACUUUGGAUGGCACUCAAUCUUGAGUUUUGGUAAUUAAUUUUAUGUAUCAAUGAUUUUCAAGUUUCAGAAUGUAUUUAAUAGGCUUAAAUUAAGCUAUGACACAUGUCUGCAUGAUCACCACCACCAAAACAAAUCCUACUGUUGGUUUAAAAAAAAAAAAAAGAAGCCCUUUGUUGAAUUAUUGAACACCUGCAAUUAUCCACUAACCUCUAAAGCAUCGGAAAUUCUAAAACAUUAAAGCAGCAAAUCCCCACCUUACCAUGUAAGAUGGCACCCAUAAAAUUGAUGUUUAAAGUUCAUAAAAUCAUUUGAAAACCAAAUAACUGUUCUUCUCUGAACCCAUUAUUUUCUUCUGAGAACAGGAGUUAGAAAUUACGCUUGUAACAUCUAAAACUGAAGAUCAUAAAAGUGUCAUCAAGGAAGACUAGGAUUCAGGUCUGUGAUUCAACAAACCAGUGAAACAGUAACAGUCACUGGACAGAGAAUUUGUUAGUUAUAACAUAUUUCAAUGUACAUAUCAUAUUUCUUUGACGACUGAGAUAUACAUUAUACAUACAAGAGGAAGAAUCAAUGACAAAAUUAUACAAUAAUUAACCUAACCAACUAAAAUACCUCUCUCAUUACAACCCCACACCCCCGCCCCAACCCAAAACCACGAGUGGGAAAAAAAAUAAAAAAAGAGGGACACCAAAAGAUUAAAGGAUAGUAUACUAUAUGGGUAAUUUUUACUUUCCUCCCUUGAGUUUUGGGUUUUUUGCACUUAGAUGGCGAAGAUCCGUUUAUUAGUGAAAACCCCCCCACCGUCAGUUAAUUUUAUGGUUGACUGUUAGUGGAAGUUAAAAACUCUAAAAUGCCCCUGUUGGAUUUGUACACAUCUGAAACAUUUGGCGCCAAGUUUAUAUCAACUAUAAUAUUACUAUUAUACCCCUUAAAUAUAGGUUAUUUACAAUUGAAUUCAAUAAAUAAAGAGACAAUUGUAACCCUAACAAUAAAUCAUAUAAACCAAAAUACUACUUCAACAUCAUAAUACACCACACUGCAAUACCAUAAAACAACAUAAAUAAAUGAUACAUAUAUUAAAGAAAAAGCUAAAAUGUAAUAAAUACCAAAUGCAAACAAUAUGUGACUAUAAUACCAAUGUGCAAAUCAUCCUAAAACAAGUGAGAAGAUAAUCCAUUAAUUACAUUACAACAUUAAAUAAUAUUCAAGGGUGUUUAGUAUUGUUUCUCAAAGUUAGUUUUCUAUUUUCUACAAACAAUCGUGAAAAAAAUGAUUUCCGAAACAAACAUUUUAUAAAUGACUAAGUGCAUCUGGAUAAGUUCUUUUUUCUCGUCUUUCUAAAUAAAAGUUGAAAAUGUCUUUAACAGUUUAUGGACUUGUAAUGUUGUUUGAUAUCAUAUGCUAUGAUAAGAGUAUUACUACUUUAAAGUAAACAAAUUUACUCCACAGUUCUACAAAUCUCAUCAAAACCAUGUCAAUUAACAAGAAAUCAAGCACCCACUCAACAUUUUCCACUUAGAGUAGUAUCAAAACGCUCCAAAUUAGGCCCAAAAAAAAAAAAAAAAAUUGUAAGGGACUAACCUUUUAUUGGCUUCAACAAAGCGAUUUGGAUUCCUGGAGCAUCGGCGAAAUUCAGAGCGAUACAUAAUGCAGGUCUUGUGUUUCUUAUUCACUUUACACAAGUAAUGGAUACUGCUCUACAACAAAGAAGAUUUUUUUGCCUUCUAAACAGAGCUCUUAACUGUGCUUGUCGAAACAGAAAAGGCCACAAUCGUGCUUCACGAAAGAGAAAAGGCCACUUUGAAUUGUUUUACAAAUUUUGCUUUAUAAAUUAAGACACAAUUUUUCAAACUGAUUUGACAACUCACUGGCUCAUGUCAACCAAAAAGCGUAAAACUUUUGCUUGUCAAAUGAGAUUACCAAAGUGCCCACAACUAACUAACAGAGAACUAACGUUUGCAAUUCGUAGGGGGGUUUUCACUAAUAAACCGAUCUUCGCUAUCUAAGUGCAAAAAGCCCAAAACUCAAGGGAGGAAAGUAAAAAUUACCCUAUACUAUAUGAAAGGAAAUAUGGCAUACUCUCCAUAGAAUAGAUUCCAUAUAAACUGAUAGAACCCUGAGAUUGCCUCCUGCAAAAAGAAAAUUAACAUAGAACCAUAUCAAGAAGAGAAAAUAAAUAUGAUUCUUCUACUAGAGGUUUGACAUUGAGAAGGCAAAGUUCAAUUGUUACAGCCAAAUUUAAUUAGAGAUUAGAAAGCAGCAAAAUUUCGAAAACUUUACCACCACACCCACUUCAUUAUUAUGUGAAAAUACUUAGCAAGUUUACUAUCACAGUAGAAAUAGUACCCAAAAGGCCACCCAAAAUAAAUUGAUCUGAUGUCAAAAUUAUUCCUAAGAGGGUGUCUAAAACAUUAUCUUGUUAAACUAUAAUAGCAGAUAUACUGUUAUUUCAUUGUGUAAUUUAGGUUAACAGGGUUACAGGGGCUUUUAGCAUCUUUUAAAGUUUGCAGACUCAGGACUUUCAUAUACGAGUCCUAUGUUAAAUAUAAAUAUAGCAUAUAGGUGAGGAGGGCUGUGCCCAUACAAUGGUAAAAUUUAAUUCAGUUCUCUUCCAAUAUUUUAUUUUUCCUCCUCCUUAAAUCCAUUAUUUAUUUUGUUUCUAAUCAGUAGAGAUUCUUUAAUUCUUUCACCCCUUCUAAUCAUGUUGCACUAUCUACAUCAUUUUUUUCCUAAUCACAUAAUUUUAAUCAUGUCCGAAAAUAGAGCUGAAAAAAGAAAUUUUUCGUUCGAAGAUCAAAGAUCUCAAAAGCUUAAUGAAAUCCAAUGAAACCUGCAGCCUCCAGGUUUAUAUCAAUUAGUUAUAGAACCCAACUCCUCUUCAAAACAAUCAUUCAGUAUACAUUCCUGAAUCAAGAUGUGAAAAAAGGUUUUCCAACUAAAUUGAUAAUUAAAGGAAUGUUACCACAUUCCUAAGGUGCAACAUGUAGCUAGAAUUACCUUGGUAUAAUUCGCUCGUUCCAAUAACCAUGUCUGAAACCAUAUUUAAAUAGAAUUUUAUGUUAAGGAAUAAAACUUGAUUAAAGAACAACAAAAAAGAAUCUUUAAAUUAAAGCAGCAGACUAACAAUAACCAUGCAUAGCAGAAAUUAAUUUCUAAAUCGGGCAUAGUCUUGACCAGCUAGCAGUUUAAAAAAUUCUAAGUUUAUAAGAAAAGACCCAAUAAUAGUAUUCAAACUCUGAUGUCCUCCAUGUGCAUGUUUCUGGACAUAACUUACAUAAUGCAAAAUAAUAGAAUCAAAAAAUUCUAAGAAUUUGAACAGAAGACAUUUUGGUCAAAAUAGUACGUAAUCCAAAAUCUUUAGCUUAUGGAAGAAAGCCCAAAAUAGUAUUUAAACUCUAAUAAAGUACAUAACAGGAAGCACAUAAAGUGGGGAAAAAAAUUAUCCAGGCGACGAAUCAGAAGUAAUCACAUUAAAAAGAAAAAAUGAUUGUGGUAGUACAAAGAAACACACCUGGAAUAGCAAGCAUGAAGCCAAGAUUACAUGUGCGGGUAUCAUUAAGCUACGCCUGAAAGCCUGAAAAUUAUACUAGACUUUAGUUCUCCUAGCAUUGAAGAAAAAUGUCAAGAAAUACAACUAUUAAACUGAUUCCAUGAGUUCAGCAGACAACCAUAACAUCAGCAUAAAUUUUGCAGAAACAAUUUAGACUCAAUAAGUCCAAACAGUAAGAGAUACCAUGAAACACUCAACUGAUUCCAUGAGAUUUACAAAUAAGCAUAAGAUCAUGCAUUCAAUGAUAUAAACCGUGUAUAAAUCAAUAAGAAUAACUUCUUAAGAGAAGUGUUCACCUGGGGCAUGUAAAUAGCUGCCAAUAUGGCAGCAACAUAAUUCAACAGCAAAAGUCCAGAACCAAGAAAGGCGAUGUUUUUAACUCCAAGCUUUGUUGCCAAAGUUGAUAUUUUAAAUCUGUAAACACAUAUAUUGGAAUAGGGAAGGUGUUAGAAGUCUAAAAUAUUAGAAGAGUAGAGGGUUUAGUUCCAAUUAAAGCAGAGCAGGUUUCUAAGUGAUGGUAAAAACAUUAAAGCAGAGGAUGCUUGCUGAGGAAAUGAUGAAGAUAAAAGCUAUAAAUUGGACUAAUAUAGAUUAUUAAAAGUUAGUGGUAGAACAAUCAAAGAGGAAUCUAAUGAAUAUAACUCUGUGGUAGAAAUGACUCAAAGAAAAAGAAAAAGAAAGAAAACCAAUAAAUUGAUCCAAGUAGGGCAGAAACUUACUUGCGAUCCCCCUCAACAUCUGGAAGAUCUUUGGUGACAGCAAUGACCAGAGCAAACAAUGUGACAAAGGCUGUAAUGAAAGCAACAGGUGCACUGCAAUUAGAAAGUGAAGAGGCAACAUUAAGAUUCUUCCUUAGUUUGCAACACCAUGCACUCAGCCAAGGGCAUUCCAUAACAAGGAGGACCAUAUAGCAUUCAAGAUUAUUAUUAAAUUUUGUUUGUUAUGCUACUCUUCAUUCAAGAGUUGACCCACAACUAAAAAGUCAAGACAGAUACUGGUCAGCUUGCACAUGAAAACCAUGGUUUACACUUGCAUGGAAAAUUUUAUUUGGUUGUGUCUCAAUUGACUAUGUUCUGACGCAAUUGAUAUCGAUAACAACUUACUUCCAUUCAAAUGAGAGUCCAAGGGCAGCUCUGGUGGCGUAAUAUACACCGAAAUUAAGGAGAAAACCCCGCACCUGCAGAGGUUAUUUUCUGUUAUCUUUUGUCCAACAAUCUAACUUUCUCGAGGCACAUGUGUCUAGAUAAAAAUUGUACCAAUCAAUGUAAAAGAACAACAACUUUAUUAGAAGCAAUAAAAUAACUGUUAUGCAAACUGAAAGAUUCUUAAGAUAAAUCAAACAGAAGUAGCAUAAAAUCAGAACUUUUUGUCUUAAGAACAAUUCCUGACACUUAAUAUAUCUAAAUUUUUAAACACAGCUUCUAUAAUGGUUAUCUUUUCAUGACACCAAUUAGGGAUAUCCUUCUCUGGGCUAGUACUUUACAAUGUGACUAAAAACCCUAUUCUUGUCUAUACAUCAGUUAGAAUUUUUCAGAUUAUGAUUCCAAUCUUAUGAGCAACUUGUGCAUCCAAAUGCAGUGUGUUGAUUAUGGUGUAUCAUCAAAUUUCAAACAUCAAUGGAGAAGUUCACAAAUUAACAUAAAGUUGAUUGUUGGAAUUUGGAGAAGAGGGUGAAAAUAAAGCAUACCGUGGCUAUUAUAAGAAAUGCAGCAACAGCAAAUCUCUUCAUUCUAAAUGGUGGAACAGAGUAGAUGGUUCCCAAAAAAAGGCCAAGACAGUAAAGAGAAGUGAUAAAUGGACCAAAGUUGAAUGCAACAAUCAAGAGACCAGUCACUGCAAAAAAUAUCACUAAAAACCAUGCAGAUUGAACUGACAGAUCUCCCGCAGCUAUUGGUAAGUAUGGUUUGUUUACCCUGCAUAAAGAGAGCAUAGGAAUUUACAAACAUAUAUUUAUCAUAAGAAGAAUCUUGGAUUAAAGACUGAGUACGCAGUUAACCAACUUUACAGUCCACUUUCAUGGCUUAAGAUGCCUUACAAUGAAUUGAAUCAAGAACUCCUGGCUAAGUAACAUAUCAGUCCGGGGAAUUUUUUGAGAAAUUUUAAUCCAGAUACUGGCAGUCCUAAGAGUUAGCUUUGUUAAACAGAUGAAAACAAUCUGACUAAAAUAAUGUAUAAUGAUCAUUGGUUGCGUGAAAACCACACUUUUGCUUUUAAGGCUAUGCAAGUCAAUUACUAGAUGUUUUAUAUGGAACCAAAGGAUUUAAGAAAAAAAGUUAAUUGCAUACUUGUCAAUUCCGAUAUCGUAGAUCUGAUUGAUGCCAACUAUAUAACCAUUCCCACAAAUGAGAGCCAAAAGACCAGAGAACGCCUUCAACAGCAGAGACCACUUUAUUAGAUUAGGGUUCUCAAUCAGCGCUCUCGCCACCAAAGCACUGUCAAUUAAAUAAUCAAGUAUAAAUGUCAUAAGAUCCAACUAAAAUUGAUUUACACAUGCUAACCAGUGUGCUCAUUUGUAAGUACUUACACAGAACCUAGAGCAGUUCCGCGGAUUGUGUGUGGCCUUAGAAAUCUCCAGCAUGCGUCUCUGAAAGCUGACACUUUGUUCAGCAAUGGAUCGGAACCAGCAGCUCCAAUUUGAGAGGAAGCCUGUAAGCAUCCAUUUUCACAUUAAAUCCAUAGACAUGCUCCGGAGUCUCAUAGAUACAAUAUUGUAAAUUCAACCAUAUCAAAUCUUAAAACCUGCCAAAUGAAAUUCAGCAAAAGCCAAUUAAAUUUAUUGAACUUGGUUUGAUUCAACUAGUACAUUUUCAACCUGCUAACUGAUUGGCUGGUUUCCAGCAGACAAUCACUUGUUGCCGAUAAAUACGUCAUACAUAACAUCAAUUAUUCAUUUUUUCCCAUCAUCAUACACUUGGUGCAACUAAUAGUAUCAUGUAAACUAUACCGCUCAUCCUUAACAAGCAUAUUGAUCUAAAUGUAAUUAGUCUUCAUAGCUCACACAAAUGAUACAACUUAAGGUGCAUAUCACAGUUCUUGUCUAAGCCAGCUAGUAAAAUGAGCUACUUCCUAUUCAAAAUAACAUCUUAAUUUCAAUUAAAUGAAGCUGACGUUUGAGUAAGAUAGAAAGCAAAACAUACCCAGAUGAAGUUACGCUGUUUUGAAGCAUGUUUAAAACCAGUUCUGUGCCUGUAGAGCCCAAAUGAAGGAAAUUUGUUGGAGGUUUUUAAUAAAUUCUCAGAGGAUAUACAGUUUGGCUUAAUGGGUGUCUUUGUUUGAUGUGGAUAAGUACUGCGAAAUGAAGUUACAGCAGAAAUUCUAAGGGAAGAGAAGUGAGCGAAUGCGAGCUCCAUUAGAGAGAGACAGCUGAAAAGCGAUUAGCAAAGCUGUGGCAGAGUGCGGUCUAUAUUUUUCUGAACAACAAAUUUUUGUGUUUUUUUUUUCAUGUUCAGGUGCUUGCAAUUGUUACCCUAUGAAUUUUAUAUUUUCACUUAUUUGAUUCGGUUUUAUAAAUUUCGUCAUAAGCAUCCUCCACCGUUUUUUCGUUUUUUUAAAUGUUCUUUAUGAAUUGUGAAAUUUUGGUAAUUUAUUUUACCAUUUCAUUACCAAAUCUGCAUGGUAAUUUGAAUGAGUAUAGCUUAUAAUGUCUCGCUAAGCACAUGUACACACGAAGGGAUGGUAAAAAUUCCUAUAAAGAUAAGGCUGCUCGAGGAUUUUUCUCAUUUAAGAAGGGUAUCAGGAAUGUUUUUAUACCUAAUUUUUUAUUCAAUAAGGAAGAGAG